CUUAGUUAGCGGGCGAGCGAAGCGGGAAGAGCUCAAAUUUAUAAUCUGGCACCUUCGGUGUCCGAGUUGUAAUCUCUAGAAGUGUUUUCCGCGUUGGACCGCACACAAGUCUGUUGGAAUACAGCGGCAUAGUGGUGAAACCCCCGUAUAUGGUGCGGACGCCCAGCGCUUUGUGAUACACUUUCAAUGAGUCGAGUUGUUUGGGAAUGCAGCUCAAAUUGGGUGGUAAAUUCCAUCUAAAGCUAAAUAUUGGCGAGAGACCGAUAGCGAACAAGUACCGUGAGGGAAAGAUGAAAAGCACUUUGGAAAGAGAGUUAACAGUACGUGAAAUUGUUGGAAGGGAAACGCUUGAAGUCAGACUUGCUUGCCGGAGCUUGCUUCGGUUUGCAGGCCAGCAUCAGUUUUCCGGGGUGGAUAAUGACGGUUUGAAGGUAGCAGUCUCGGCUGUGUUAUAGCUUUCCGUUGGAUACAUCCUGGGGGACUGAGGAACGCAACGUGCUUUUUGCGAAAGACUCGUCUUUUUCACGCUUAGGAUGCUGGUGGAAUGGCUUUAAACGACCCGCUG
rnacentral:rRNA from 1 species